rnacentral:tRNA from 1 species
GGUAUAGCUCAGUGGUAGAGCGCAUGCUUAGCACGCAUGAAGUCCUAGGUUCAAUUCUCAGUACC